GGUAAUACGUUCAUCGGAAUACCUGGCAUGAGUUCCGCUUAUCAGAGUCGAUUAGAUCGGGCGGAGGACAAUUCAGGAUCUACUUAUUUUACCUACAACUCUGUAAAUAAUCCGGAUCUGUUCUACUACGCAUUGAAUUCCUCAGGGCUUUUACAGGCAAAGGUCUCAUUUGGUAAAGGAGAUUGGAAUGUAACGUGGUCAAGUCUAGAAAGCCAAUGUGAUAUUUAUGGCAAAUGUGGACCUUUUGGAAGCUGCAAUCGUCUACAGUCACCAAUGUGUACGUGUUUGCGAGGUUUUAAGCCAAGAGAUGAAGAGGAAUGGAACAGAGGAAAUUGGAGUGGUGGAUGCAUAAGAAAGGAAUUGUUGAAAUGUGAGAGAAAUCAAUCUUCCAGUACAGAUGCCAAAGAAGAUGGAUUUGUGAGACUCCCAAACAUGAAAGUUCCAGAUUUCCUUGUGCUGGUAGUAUUCUCAGAAGAAGCGUGUGGUGGUUCUUGCUUGAAAAAUUGCUCUUGCACAGCUUAUGCAUAUUACAAAGGGAUAGGAUGUAUGCACUGGAGUGGCAACCUAAUCGAUGUGCAGCACUUCUCCUAUGAUGGGGCAGACUUGUAUGUACGCGUACCUUAUUCUGAACUUGGUAAGAUAUAUCUUCCAUACUCUUGUUAUAGUUAGGUGUUUCACUUAUCAAUUGCUUAUACUUGUCUAAGGAUUUGUGCCCAGUUUUUUUUUUUUUUUAAUUUGCAAUCAAUCCGAAAGUCCAAAACUGAUAAUUUUCACAUUUUUUUGGAUCUAUUUGAAGUUAUGAUGAAAUUUGGUUGUGUUUCUACCAGAAAGGUAUCAAAAUGACCAAAAUGAGGGCAUAUUACAUAAUUCCUUGUAUGAAAAUUCUGAGAUUAUGCUUUCAACACUUGAAAUACAGAUAAAAAGAAGGAUACGAAAGCAGUCACUGCAGUCAUAGUGGUUGCAGCAUCUUUAUUUAUUGCCGUCUCUCUUUAUUUUUGUUGGAAAUGGUGGACUAAGCACAAAGGUGAGAUUACUUACUUUAAUAUGCUCAACCCGUGCUUAAUUAAUUUCUCGUGUGUUGUGAUUUAUAUUCAUGCAUUCACCUACCACCUGCUCAUAAACAGGUAAAGACCAAGAUGAUCAGGUGUCUUUGUUUGAACCUGCGUAUAAUGUGGAAAACAUGGUCAGCAAAACUGGGGACCGAGCCAAGUUAGAAGAGCUACCUCUGUAUGCUUAUGAAACACUAGCUAAAGCAACAGAUAACUUUGAACAAUGCAAUGAGCUGGGCAAAGGUGGUUUUGGUCAAGUCUACAAGGUAAUGUAAGCUCCUCAUGGUAUUCCACGCUGCUUCAAGAACUAAAUGAGUUGUUUGCUAGGAUUGGAACUUAAUUAUCAUUGCAUCUGCAGGGAAAGCUGUUAGAUGGCCAGGAAAUUGCAGUGAAAAGGCUUUCCAACACUUCUGGCCAAGGCAUUGAGGAGUUUAUGAAUGAAGUUGUGGUCAUUUCUAAACUCCAGCACCGGAACCUUGUUAGACUCCUUGGCUGCUGUGCUGAAAGAGAAGAGAAAAUGCUAGUCUAUGAAUACAUGGCAAACAAAAGCCUGGACUUCCAUCUAUUUGGUUUGUUGAUGAACAUCGCAGCACUUUUUUUUUUUUUUUUUCUUCAGUUCCAAAAAACCAAAGCCUGGACUUCCAUCUAUUUGGUUUGUUGAUGAACAUCGCAGCACUUUUUUUUUUUUUUUUUCUUCAGUUCCAAAAAACCAGGUUUUUCGACUAGCAGCACUAUAUGGCACAGGAAAUUUUCCGUAAUACCUUAUACUGAGUCAUAUUGAUCUACGUCAUUAUUGCUCUAUCAGAUUCUGAUAAGCCAAGUGUACUCGAUUGGAAAAAACGCGUCACCAUCGUUGAUGGGAUUGGCAGAGGCCUCCUUUACCUUCACAGAGAUUCAAGAUUAAAAAUCAUUCACAGAGAUCUAAAGGCAAGCAAUAUUCUCUUAGAUAAAGAACUGAGACCCAAGAUAUCAGAUUUUGGCUUGGCAAGAAUUUUUGGAGGCAAUGAAGAUCAAGCCAAUACAACGAGGGUUGUGGGUACAUAGUGAGUACAGUUCGCUCUCUUGUUUAAUUCAAUCAGUUCAUAAUAAAUCUAAACUGUUUUUCUUCCCCUUGUAGUCCUCAAAACUCAAACUACUUUUUACUCUUUUUGCCUAUAUAUAUGGUGAUGAACGUAAGUGGCUACAUUGCCCCGGAAUAUGCAAUGGAAGGCAUGUUUUCAGAAAAGUCAGAUGUCUACAGCUUUGGGGUGCUGCUAUUAGAGAUUGUGACAGGAAGGAGAAAUAGUAACUUCUAUUAUCACGAGAAUGAGCUGAGUCUACUUGGAUAUGUAAGAUAAUAUCUUCGACUAUGAAGAGUAUCAUAAGGGCAAAGUUCCUUAUCUCAUUCUUGCAUAAAGCAAAUUAAAUUCACAGUUUCAUUUUGCUUCCUCAGGCCUGGAAAUUGUGGAAUGAAAAAGAAGCAGUUAAACUGAUAGAUGCAGCUAUGUUUGUCCCGGGUAUCGAAAAAGAGGUCUUGAGAUACGUCCAUGCAGGGCUAUUGUGCGUGCAAGAAUUUGCAAAAGAUAGGCCAGAUAUCUCUGCUGUUCUAUCCAUGCUUAACAGUGAAAUUUCAAAUCUCCCUCUUCCCAAAUUACCGGCUUAUACAAGAAGAUUAGGAUCUUCAGAAAGUGAUUCUUCUUCGCAAAGGGUUGAUUCUAUUAACAAUGUCACUGUAACGAUUGUUGAAGGCCGAUAACAGAAUCCACUUCACAGUAUGCAGUACUAGUAAUGCAUUCACCAAGACGGAUGUAGCACAACAUCAGUUUGCUUUGGAGGUAUCAGCAUAUAAUCAACUGCUUGGUAUGUUUAUGCAUCUCAGUCUGACCAUAUAUUUGACAGCUUACUGGGUAUAAAGUAUAUAAAUAACUGUUUACUUGCUAUCAUGGACAGUUUUAGCAAUAGUCUCUGCUUUGAAUACUUUCUUCUAGUCUCCGUUUCUUAGGCUGACUUUAUGCAUCUCAAAUUAUUUUCUCAGAGAUAAGAGCAGAUUUCAACGCACAAUUUGGAUUAUUUGCAGAAAACCAUUAGUUUCUGGAUGACGUAUUUGGAUGUCUAUGCCUUACCCAUGGUUCUAGAUUGGAUUUUUAGUACUUUUCCUAGUCGACAGAUAACUCAAUUUUAGGAAAUUUUUAUGUUCAUAUUUCUUUAUCUAUAUACGAAUUUUCUUGCAUGACUUUUGACCAUGUAUCACUUAGAACCACUAAGCUUGAAUAUGGAAUCCAAUAAUGCUAAUUACUUGAGAGUUCACCUUUACUUAUUUGCUUUGUUUGAAAGAAUCUAAAGUGUUACUGGCUUGUGGGUAUUUCAAUUCGUUGAUGUACAGAAGACUGGUAAAAUAACAUUAAACAAGUAACCACUUUUAAAUUUGAUUGUCUAUUUAUCAACGUCCUAUUUUCCUUUGAUACACAUAAAUGGAGUCUGAAAAAUACUAGUAGCACUAAGAUCGUAAGCUUAAACUGAUUGACCAUGUUGUAAAUUGAAGAUCAUCUUGGUGCUAUGGUCAAACUGAUUACUCACUUUAGGGAUCAUUGGUUUUUGUUAUGGAAAGUUCAUGUUCGGGAUGUAAUUCCUUUUCUAAAUGUGUUUCAUUUUGCAGGUUAGGAUAUCAUUUCUUGGCUCUUAGAACGUUUUCUUAUCACUCGAGCCAUUCUCUAUGAAGUUGAGUUGGUGCUACCUAUUUGUAUUUGUGGUAUUGUAAUUUUGAUGAAUAUUAGUGUGUACUGCGAGACUCGAUUAGUAUGUUAACUAAUGGAAGGUUUCAUUCAUUAAUACUCGAAGGAGUAGCUAGUUAAUUUGCUAUAAAUGAAUUUAUGUCUUUUUCUUAUUUCUUGAUGGGCAUCAACUAAAGAGGCUUGCGAAUGGAUUUCUUUUAAAUUUUGGCCUUCCAAAAAAAAAAGAAAAGAAAUAAAAAUAGAAAGAAAAGAGAAAAAAGAAAAAAGAAGAUGUUUUUGUGACUCGCAAGUCCGCUAGUCACAAGGCUACUGGGGUCUAAUUUAACUAGUGGGUCCCAAUAGACAAAAGAUCUUUUGUGACUAUUAUUUGCAUGUCACAAAGAAAUCCUAGUUUUUUUGACUUUUUAUUACAUUCAAAAUACAAGUCAUAAAGGUAUUCUUACAAGUCACAAUUGAUAAUGUGACUUUCUUAUACAAGUCAUAAAAAAUUUUGUGACUAUUAAAUCCGUGACUUUCAUAUACAUGUCACAAUGUGGUUACAAAAAGAUUUUGUGACUGUUUAGACGCUUUUUUGACUAUUAUUGACGAGUCAUAAUUUCUAGCGGUGAAACAUGUUUUGGAUUAAUAAAGUCUUCAUUGUCUAGGAUCCUAAUGGCUAGAAUGUUGAACUUUUUGGACUUCAGUAAAUUUUGUGAAGUUUUGAUUGUGGGCAUAACAUUGGCUAAGAAAUUAUGAUGAACAAAAUUAAUCAAUUGUGAGCCGCACAAAAUGUUGAUUACAUAAAAAAGAAAUUAAACAUUUACUAUGCAUUGUAUAAUUACAAAAACUCGGAGAUUACAGAAACUCAAAGAUGGAAGGUUAGAGAAAUUUUCUAUGAUGUGUCUAGCCAGUGCAUAAAACCAACAAAAAAUAAAUUAACAUUUUGUCUUGUUAUUAGCUAUCUAUGAUCUUUUGUCUAGUCAUUAACUGGUAUUUUCUUCUAAACCAAUAUAUAUGAUAUACGUAGUUAACUUCAGUUAUCAUUAAAUAAAAAAGGGUCACCACAAUAAUUGAAGAUAAUUUUUACAUAUAAUGAUUUGAGAUAAGAGCAAGGGUUAGUGAAUAUAUUUUUAUAUUGGCAGUUUUAAUUCUAAUCACAUUUAUUAUUGAUAUGUAAUCAAUUGGAAUUUUUUUUGUUUUUUUUUUCUAGAUAUCCAACCCAGCUGAUAAUCGGCUCAUUGGUUUGCUAACUGGUCCGAAUCUGCUCAUUGGUUUACAUCACAAAGUUAGAUGGAGUAGUUACAUAGUACAAUUGCAACGCGAUCAUUGGAAUACUUAAUUUUAAGUGGUAUACUAAAGUUAAUGAAAAAGAAGAAGAGAAAGAUAUAAAACAUUCGUUCAUUCCUCAAUCUUCGAGAUCAAUCUCUUUUUUAUACUGGGAUUUAAAAGUGGAUGUUCAAUGACAAAGGAGCAAAUUACACUUUAUCUCCUGUGGUAUAACUAAUUUUUACAUAACCCCAUAUAGUUUUAAAAAUUAUAUAUAAUCCUCUCAUAAUUUGGAUUAAAGUGUCAAACUGACGGAAACAAUCAUCUGUUAUGGAACCUAUGAGAAUAUCGAAAUUACAUUUAUUUAAAAACUAAAUGACUGAAGUAAUUAAAAUAUAUAAAUAUAAUAUGCAUGACGCUCAAAUCUUAUAUGAUUUUCUAUUUUACCAUAUAACUCUUUUAGAUUUAGUGUUUUACCAUAUAACUUCCUUAUGAUUUAGUGCUAUACUAUAUAUCUCCCUUAUAAUUUUCAAUAAAUAUAUAUAACCCCCCGUGGUUAAUAAAUAAAUUUCAACUUUACAUAAAUGUAUUUUUGACAUUUAGUUAACUCCGUUAUGAAUUGCAAUUUUCAUUACUCUGAUAUCUUAAUCUAAAUGAUGAGAAGAUUAUGUAUAUCUUUUGAAACCAUAGAAGAAUUAUGUAAACAAAUACUAAACUGCAGGGGCAUAAAGUGUAAUUUGCCCAUGACAAAGACACCGAGUUGAAAGAAUUAAAAUUGCAACUUAGUUGUCACCAUUGGGUUCCAUCAGAUAGUCUACUGGACACUAUAGGCAAAAGGGCUUUCUUUUCCCAAGCCUUCAACAUUUUUUUUUAAAAUAAAAGUUUGAAUGAGUUCCAACUCUGAUCACCACCAUAAAUCAGAGCAUACAUGAUAUUAUAGGCAAAAGGGAUUUCUUUUCCCAAGCCUCCUACAUUUGCCCUUUUUUGGCUAAUAAAAGUUAUAAUGAGUUCAACUCUAAUCACCACUACAGACCUGAGCAUGUUUUUGGAAUCAUAGAUUAUUGAUAAUCAUUUUUACAUCGAGUCGUAAAGAAAUGGUUUGUUCAUUUAACUAUUGUUAUUUUUGCAGCAAAUGAUCUGUAGAACUCAAAAAGAUUUCACCCAAAAACUAUAGGAGAUAAAUUUUACAAAAAACUAAUGUAGAUGAGGAGGCAAUUUACACAAUAUAUAUGAGGGAAGAGGAAUAAUACUAAUGAUAAUACAUUAACCAUACACCAUAAUAAUUAAUGUCAUUAAAUUUUAAUCUUCUUGACAAAUCACAAUAACAAUAAUAUCAUAACUGAAUUCAAAUAAAAUUACUAAGACCGUAACUUGACACUGUUAAAUAAUAAUAUAAAAAUUUCUAUUUUUGAUUCUUGAUUUAGUAUGCUAACAUGAUCAUAUACCACAGCUUUUAGUGCGUGGACACAACCUCUGACGGUAAUUUGGUUACCUGAUGAGACAAAAGUAAACCACCACACUGCAGAGGAUGGAUUAAUUUAAAAAAAAAAAAGAAAAGAAGGAAGAAUGGGAUGCUUUGUAGUUCAGAGUAACUAACUAUCAGUUUGAGAAGCCGCGUCAGGCAUGAAUUUUCUAUGUGGAUUUCUAUUAACAAGCUGAAUGAAAACAUUGAAACGUUCAGACUUUUGGAUUAAAAGUAAAAAAAUAGUAGUCAAAUCUUCUGGAACAUCCGGUAGUUAAUGUGUUUGAUUUGUCUUAGGUUCGAUUCUGUUUAUUCCAAAAAAAAAAAAAAGAAAUGAAAAUGCUGAUGCGCAAGCUCCUGGGCUUAAUUUCAGCCAGGUUUCAGGUCAAACAUGCUACUUUGAAACAGUAGAAGAAUGUUUUAUCUUUCCGUAAAAUUAAUUAUACCAAACAUUUCUAUCCGCUGUUACAGUUUCUAAUGCUUUUAUUGGUGAUACUGAUUCAGAUGGUUAAGCUUUAUAGAGCCAACAGCAAGUUUCAAUAGUUUAUUGAGUUGACUUGUAAGCUUCAAUAAUGACGGCGGGCAAUUGGUAAUUGACUCUCAAGUUUAAGCCGCAUGGUGGGCUUGAUUCAGAGUAAUGGUGCAGUCAACUGGGACAAUAUAUUAUUAAGCUGACUCUAAAAAAGUCUAGUUUAGGGCAAAUUCCACUUUACUCCCUGUGAUUUAGCAUUUUUUACAUCACCCCCUAUGGUUUCAAAAGUUAUAUAUAACCCGCUCAUAGUUGAGAUUAAAGUGUCAAAAUGAUGGAAAUGAUCAUUCGUAAAUGAGUCACCUAAAUUGUCAAAAAUAUCCUUAUGUAAAGUUGAAAAUUAUUUAUUAACCAAGGGAGGUUGUGUGUAUAUUUUGAAAACCAUAAGGGGUUUAUAUGGUAAGGUAUUAAACCAUAAAGGGGUUAGUGUGUCAUGUAUUUACAAGGAUAAUUUCGACAUUUUUAGAAGUUUCGUUACAAAUGACUAUUUCCGUUAUUUUGACACUUUAAUCCAAACCAUGAGAGAGUUAUGUAUAGCUUUUGAAACUAUAGGGGAAUUAUGUAAAAAAUGCUAAACUACAGGGGAUAAAAUGUAAUUUGCACUUUAGUUUAUCAUAAUCAAACACAUGAUUUCAUUUCACGAUGGCUUCAUGAAUAUGACAAGAGCCACGAUGGGUUUAAUUUUCUUAUGGCAUGACUUGGUCUAAAUAUCUAGGAAGAAUGCAAAUAUCUUGUAUUGCCGUAUUAGAUUCCCAGAUAUAAAAAAUUUGUGGAGGGAAUGAAAUGGAGUUAGAUUGUAAGAUUGUUCAUCAUCAAUGAUAACUUCUCAAUCACCAAUGAGGGGAUCCCUUUUUCUACUACUUGCUUGCUUCUGUUUAGAAGCUUGUACAGCGGUGGAUUAUAUAACAAUCACUCAGCCUCUGCAGGACUCCGAAACUAUAGUUUCUUCAAACCAGACUUUCAAAUUAGGAUUUUUCAGUCCUGCAAAUAGUAGUGGUCGAUAUGUUGGAAUCAUGUUCAAUGUUCCUGCAGUUGCAGUAGUAUGGGUGGCUAAUAGAGACAGACCAUUAAAUGAUUCAUCAGGAACUCUGACAAUCUCAGGAGACGGCAAUCUUGUGGUCUUGAAUGGGCAGAAGGAGAUACUAUGGUCAUCUAACGUUUCAAAUUCUGUGGCAAAUUCUACUGCACAACUCUUGGAUACUGGAAACUUGGUUUUGACAGACAAUCCCAGUGGAAGAACUCUGUGGGAAAGUUUUCAGAUUCCGACAGACUCAUAUCUCCGGCGGAUGAGAUUAAGUUCAAGUACGAAAGGCCAGAAAAUCCGAUUGACCUCUUGGAGAAAUCCUUCUGAUCCAUCUAUCGGAAGUUUCUCCCUAGGUAUUGAACCCCAGCAAACUCCACAACUCUUCAUUUGGAACGACAAUAAACCUUAUUGGCGCAGUGGUCCAUGGAACAGCAGUGCCUUUAUUGGAGUUCCUGACAUGGAUCCAGUUUAUCUAAAUGGUUUUAACCUGGUAACGGAUGAUACAGGAUUGGUGUCUGCUACCUUCACGUAUUCAAAUGAUAGUGGUUUGUUGUACUUUGAAUUGAGUUCCUCAGGGUCUAUACUGCAGAAAGUUUUAUCAGAUAGAAAAGGGGAUUGGGAGGUUACAUGGUCAAGCCAAGGAAGUCAAUGUGAUGUCUAUGGCAUAUGUGGACCUUUUGGAAGCUGCAAACCCCAUGGUUCACCUAUUUGUACAUGUUUGCAAGGUUUUGAGCCUAGAGAUAAGGUGGAAUGGGAAGGAGGAAACUGGACUAGUGGUUGCACAAGAAGGGAAAUGCUGCAAUGUGAGAGAAAUAAUUCUGUUCGUUCUGAGGGCAAACAAGAUGGAUUCUUGAAGCUCCCAAACACUAAAGUUCCAGAUUUGGCUGAAUGGGUAGCAACUUCAGAAGACGAAUGUGGUACUCAGUGCUCAAAUAAUUGCUCCUGUUUAGCUUAUGCCUCUUAUCCGGGCAUUGGCUGUAUGCACUGGAAGGGAAGCUUAAUUGAUAUACAGCAGUUUGCCUCUUCUGACGGGGCAGAUUUAUACAUACGUGUGCCUUAUUCUGAACUUGGUAAGACACUUCUUAUUACAAUGUUUUAGUAACUCUGUACUCUUAAUGUAGCAUUUUACUUUCUGCUUCCGCAUUCAAAUAGGAUUUGAAUUCGAUCAAGGCUAUAUUUUGGAAUGUAACGAAGAUAUCAAAUCCCCUUCACUUCUUUUUACAUUUUUUCUAUAGAUUCUACAAGAAAGUCAAAAUGACAUAGAAUUGCAUUUGGCUAGUUCUUUCUCGAUAGUAGCUUUCUGAAGAUGCUUUGAAACUUUGACAUUUAUAGGCAAGAAAAGGGACAUGAAAGCAGUCAUUGCAACCUCAGUAAUUGGAGCAUCUUUAUUUAUUGCCGUCUCUCUAUAUUUUUGUUGGAAAUGGUGGACUAAGCACAAAGGUGAGAUUACUUACUUUAAUAUGCUCAAACUGUGCUUAAUUAAUUUCUCGUGUGUUGUGAUUUAUAUUCAUGCAUUCACCUACCACCUGCUCAUAAACAGGUAAAGACCAAGAUGAUCAGGUGUCUUCGUUUGAACCUGCGUAUAAUGUGGAAAACAUGGUCAGCAAAACUGGGGACGGAGCCAAGUUAGGAGAGCUACCUCUGUAUACUUAUGAAACACUAGCUAAAGCAACAGAUAACUUUGAACAAUGCAAUGAGCUGGGCAAAGGUGGUUUUGGUCAAGUCUACAAGGUAAUGUAAGCUCCUCAUGGUAUUCCACGCUGCUUCAAGAACUACAUGAGUUGUUUGCUAGGAUUGGAACUUAAUUAUCAUUGCAUCUGCAGGGAAAGCUGUUAGAUGGCCAGGAAAUUGCAGUGAAAAGGCUUUCCAACACUUCAGGCCAAGGCAUUGAGGAGUUUAUGAAUGAAGUUGUGGUCAUUUCUAAACUCCAGCACCGGAACCUUGUUAGACUCAUUGGCUGCUGUGCUGAAAGAGAAGAGAAAAUGCUAGUCUAUGAAUACAUGCCAAACAAAAGCCUGGACUUCCAUCUAUUUGGUUUGUUGAUGAACAUCGCAGCACUUUUUUUUUUUUUUUCUUCAGUUCCAAAAAACCAGGUUUUUCGACUAGCAGCACUAUAUGGCACAGGAAAUUUUCCGUAAUACCUUAUACUGAGUCAUAUUGAUCUACGUCAUUAUUGCUCUUUCAGAUUCUGAUAAGCCAAGUGUACUCGAUUGGAAAAAACGCGUCACCGUCGUUGAUGGGAUUGGCAGAGGCCUCCUUUACCUUCACAGAGAUUCAAGAUUAAAAAUCAUUCACAGAGAUCUAAAGGCAAGCAAUAUUCUAUUAGAUAAAGAGCUGAGACCCAAGAUAUCAGAUUUUGGCUUGGCAAGAAUUUUCAGAGGCAAUGAAGAUCAAGCCAAUACAAGGAGGGUUGUGGGUACAUAGUGAGUACAGUUCGCUCUCUUGUUUAAUUCAAUCAGUUCAUAAUAAAUCUAAACUGUUUUUCUUCCCCUUGUAGUCCUCAUAACUCAAACUACUUUUUACUCUUUUUGCCUAUAUAUAUGGUGAUGAACGUAAGUGGCUACAUUGCCCCGGAAUAUGCAAUGGAAGGCAUGUUUUCAGAAAAGUCAGAUGUCUACAGCUUUGGGGUGCUGCUAUUAGAGAUUGUGACAGGAAGGAGAAAUAGUAACUUCUAUUAUCACGAGAAUGAGCUGAGUCUACUUGGAUAUGUAAGAUAAUAUCUUCGACUAUGAAGAGUAUCAUAAGGGCAAAGUUCCUUAUCUCAUUCUUGCAUAAAGCAAAUUAAAUUCACAGUUUCAUUUUGCUUCCUCAGGCCUGGAAAUUGUGGAAUGAAAAAGAAGCAGUUAAACUGAUAGAUGCAGCUAUGUUUGUCCCGGGUAUCGAAAAAGAGGUCUUGAGAUACGUCCAUGCAGGGCUAUUGUGCGUGCAAGAAUUUGCAAAAGAUAGGCCAGAUAUCUCUGCUGUUCUAUCCAUGCUUAACAGUGAAAUUUCAAAUCUCCCUCUUCCCAAAUUACCGGCUUAUACAAGAAGAUUAGGAUCUUCAGAAAGUGAUUCUUCUUCGCAAAGGGUUGGUUCUAUUAACAAUGUCACUGUAACGAUUGUUGAAGGCCGAUAACAGAAUCCACUUCACAGUAUGCAGUACUAGUAAUGCAUUCAACAAGACGGAUGUAGCACAACAUCAGUUUGCUUUUGGAGGCAGGGACGGAGCCAGAAAUUUAUUUUUGGGGGGGCUGAAGUGUAUUAAAAAUUUUUUUUUUGUGACGAAAUAAAUAUAUUUAAUAAGUAAAAUCUAGAAUCAAUAAUUAUAAAAAUAAUAAAAACAUAUAAUUAUACAUACCCAAAAAUUUGUUAUUGAUUAACACUUGAAGUAUUGGUAGUUGUUGCACUCGAAUAACGAAGAGGAGGCAAUUGCAUUCUGCGAGUCUUCAUCCGUUGAAAACGUUGCAAUAUUUGCUCAUUUUCAAUUGUUGCAAAAAUAUCCUUCUCGAUGUAUACAACCAGACAGUCAUUCAUCCACUCGUCUCCCAUUUUGUUGCGCAAAUCAGUCUUGACAAUAUUCAUUGCAGAAAAUACUCUUUCAACAGAAGCAGUCGCAACUGGUAGAACUAAUGCCAACUGGAUCAGACGAUAAACAAAUGGAAAAACUGUAUUUUUACCAGUUUUAACCAUUUGUUGAGCAAGACUUCCCAAAUCUCCAACUUCUGAAAAUUGAGGAUCGCGUUGCACAUUAUAAAUAUAAUUUCGAAGUUGAGACUCAAGAUAUAAAUAAUCGUUACUUGAGAAGUCUUCAGGAUAUAAAUCAGCAAGACGGAGUAGUUUCUGCACAUUGAAUUGAGAGAAAGAACUUUUUGGAUCAAGACAUGCUAUGCAACUAAGCAAUUCCGUGCUAACUUCCGAGAAACGAUUAUUCAUCUCUUGUAUAAUUAAAUCAACAACCUGACAUCACAACAAUAAUAAAAUUAAUAACUAAGAAAAUCUGCUAACAAGUAACAAAUGUAAUGAAAUAAUAAUUUCAAAAAUAAUACCUCACAAAAAAUUUCCACGCGAUAAUGAUGAAAAUUAGUGAUGGUUUGACCUCUGCGACUGCGCCUGGCAUUGCCACGGAUUGCUAUACUGUCUUCCAUAUCAAUCACGGGAAUCAUAUUCAACUCACAAAAAUUGUUGACUUCAUCUAAAAUUAUUUGCCAUCCCUCUUCCCUAAAGUCUUGCAAUUGAGAUUUCAUAGUAUCAAUCAAACUCAUGGCUUGGACAAUAUUUUGAUCCCUUUGUUGCAAAACAAGUGACAAGUCAUUUGUGAUUCCCAAUAAAUACUUCAUCAGGUGCAAUGCAAAAACAAACUCAUAAUCAUUCAUUCUAUCAAUCAAACCCCUGGCCAUACCUCUAUUGUCAGAAGUGGAGGCAUCAUCUUGUAUAUUUCCCAAUAUUCCAAUCACCGAAGCCCACAUAGAGGAUAGACGAAGUAAUGUUAGAUAGUGUGAUCCCCAACGAGUAUCCCCUGGUCUUGCUAAACUAGUUUCUUGAUUUUUGCCUUUUCCACUAAUAAUAUCUCCACUGUCUAAAAGUGUAACAAUCUUAUCAUGUUCUAUUUGUCUUAAUUGAUCUCUCCUUUUACAUGAUACUCCAGUUAAAUUGACAAUCAUAGAGACAUAGACAAAGAAUUCACUGACAAUGAUAUUUCCCUUAGCAACAGCAACAAUAACUAACUGGAGUUGGUGAGCAAAACAGUGAAUAUACAUCGCAUAGGGAUUUUCUUGUAAUAUAAGGGCCUUCAAACCAUUGAACUCACCUCGCAUAUUUGAAGCUCCAUCAUAUCCUUGACCUCUCAAUUUGGAUAAUGAUAAUCCGUGUUGCGCGAAUAAAGAAUCAAUUGCAUCUUUCAAACAAAGAGAUGUGGUGUCAGACACAUGUACAAUUGCAAGGAAACGUUCAAUCACACGCCCUUCUUUGUUCACAUAUCUCAAAAUAACUCCCAUUUGCUCUUUCACUGAACUGUCUCGAGACUCAUCAACUAUUAGGGAAAAAUAAUUGUCUCCAAUAUCAUUGAUUAUAACACUUGUGAUCUCUGAGGCACAAGCAUGUGCCAGCUCUUUUUGAAUCAUUGGAGAAGUUAGUUGAUUAUUUGCAGGAGCAUUUUGAUUUACAACCUCAAAAAUCUCAGUAUUUCGCUGGCUAUACCACUCAAACAAUUCAAGAAAAUUGCCUCUAUUUGAAGAACUAGUUGACUCAUCAUUUCCACGAAAAGCCAAUCCUUGCUUCAAAAGAAAGCGGGUCACAUCCAGAGCAGCAGUUAAACGGGUGCGAUAUGCAAUAUCUAUUUCGCGCCCACAAGAUCGUAGCACAUUUGACACACUAUGCCUUUGAUCUUGAAAACUUUCAAACUGUAUUCUAGCAUCAUUAUGGCAACUAUUCACAGCUCCAAUAUGUUCAUUAAAUCUUUCCAUUGCCUUUUUCCAAUUAUUGAAUCCCGUUUUUGUAAAGGCAUCCUCUGCAUAUCGACCUCCCUUAUUUUGUGUUUUGAAAAGAAAGCACCAAAAGCAAAACGCCGCAUCUUUCGAUAUGCUAUACUCUAACCAUACAAACUUUUGAUACCAACUAUCUUGGAAACUUCUAUGUUGUUUACCAAAUGAUGUUUUUGGAUACAUAUGGCCAAUCGGUUGGCAAGGUCCCCUAGUCAAAUACUCUCUUCGGACAUGGUCUCGAAGAGAAAUAUCAAAUUUCUCAACUGAUUUUCGUAAUCCCGGAUCACUAACAAUAUCAUUUAAAUUCAAUUCCACACAAGAUUGAUUUUGAACUGGUUCACUAAUAUUAGGCUCAUUUGAAGAUUCACCACUACGGACUCGUUUAGGUUUAAAGAAUCUCUCCAUUUUCUGUCACAAUUAAAUAAUUGUGGUUAAAUUCAAUAAAAUUAUGCAAUUCAAUAAUCAAUUAAUUUAAAAUUCAUAUAAAUAAUUCUUUAAUUUAAUAAUAAAUUCAUAUUACUUAUAUUUCUCAAUUUAUAAAAUUCAUUAUAUAAAAUUAUCAAAAAGUUAAAAUAAGGUACAACUAAAUACCCAUAUAAUUUCUAAUUCAAUCUCAUAAAAUUUUGAAUUUAUAUUUACAUUCAAAAUUUCUAAUUCACAUAAUUAAUUCUUAAAAUUUCAAAUAUAAAACUAACAAAAUUUUAAAAACUAAAUACAACCUAAAAUCUAUACAAUUUCUAAACUAAUUUCUAAUUUAAAUUUAAUAUCAUUAAAUUUUUUAAUGUAAUCUUUCAAAUUCUUAAAUUACAUUAACAUAAACUAAAUAAAAAUUAAUCUUAAUCAAAUUAAUAUCAAGAUACUCAAAAUUCAAAAAUAAUUUAAACAUAUAAUUAACAAAAAUAUAAAGAUGAAUAUUGUAAUUUAAACCAAAAAACUAACCUAAAAGAUUUAUGUGAAUGGAAUGGUGGAGAGUUGGAGUCUUGGAGCCUUGAAUUGAAGGCUUGAAGCAGGAUGGUAGAAUCUCAACUGAAGCUUCUUGGAGUUCUUGGAGCCUGGCGUGAGUGGCGUCUUCUUCUUGGAGUUGGAGACUUGGAGUCUUCGUGAGUGGCUUCGGUGUUUGCCCUUUGGCCUUUGGCAUUGGCGGCGUGCUUUUGCAUCAGAUGAAGCUUUAGGGCUUCAUCUGAUGUAUUUUUUUUUCCCCUCAUUAUACAAAACGACGUCGUUCCACUAAAAGUGAAACGACGUCGUUUUGUAUUUAGAGGGCUAAAAAAAAAUUCAACAUAAAUUGGGUCAUCUUCUUCCUCGGACCUCAGCAGUCAGCAGACUCAGCAGUCAGCACGGCAGGCUGGCAGCGGCUUUCCAGGCCCAGCACUUCUUCACUUCCUCUGCAGCAUUCAUGGAGGCAUGGAGCCAUGGAGGAUGGUAGAUCUGGAUCACCGUGGGGGGACUGGGCUGGGCUGGGCUGGCCGCCGGAAUCCCCUAUAUGGCUAUAUAUAGGGGAUUUUCCGGCGGCUUGGGGGGGGCUUAAGCCCCCACCAGCCCCCCCUUAAAUCCGUGCCUGUUUGGAGGUAUCAGCAUAUAAUCAACUGCUUGGUUAUGUUUAUGCAUCUCAGUCUGACCAUAUAUUUGACAGCUUACUGGGUAUAAAGUAUAUAAAUAACUGUUUACUUGCUAUCAUGGACAGUUUUAGCAAUAGUCUCUCCUAUGAAUACUUUCUUCUAGUCUCUGUUUCUUAGGCUGACUUUAUGCAUCUCAAAUUAUUUUCCCAGAGAUAAGAGCAGAUUUCAACGCACAAUUUGGAUUAUUUGCAGAAAACCAUUAGUUUCUAGAUGACGUAUUUGGAUGUCAAUGCCUUACCCAUGGUUCUAGAUUGAAUUUUUAGUACUUUUCCUAGUCGACAGAUAACUCAAUUUUAGGAAAUUUUUAUGUUCAUAUUUCUUUAUCUAUAUACGAAUUUUCAUGCAUGACUUUUGACCAUGUAUCACUUAGAACCACUAAGCUUGAAUAUGGAAUCCAAUAAUGCUAAUUACUUGAGAGUUCACCUUUUCUUAUUUGCUUUGUUUGAAAGAAUCUAAAGUGUUACUGGCUUGUAGGUAUUUCAAUUCGUUGAUGUACAGAAGACUGGUAAAAUAACAUUAAACAAGUAACCACUUUUAAAUUUGAUUAUCUAUUUAUCAAUGUCCUAUUUUCCUUUGAUACACAUAAAUGGAGUCUUAAAAAUACUAGUGCACUAAAAUCGUAAGCUUAAACUGAUUGACCAUGUUGUAAAUUGAAGAUCAUCUUGGUGCUAUGGUCAAACUGAUUACUCGCUUUAGGGAUCAUUGGCUUUUGUUAUGGAAAGUUCAUGUUCGGGAUGUAAUUCCUUUUUUGAAUGUGUUUCAUUUUGCAGGUUAGGAUAUCAUUUCUUGGCUCUUAGAACGUUUUCUGAUCACUUGAGCCAUUCUCUAUGAAGUUGAGAUGGUACUACCUAUUUGUAUUUGUGGUAUUGUAAUUUUGAUGAAUAUUAGAGUAUACUGCGAGACUCGAUUAGUAUGUUAACUAAUGGAAGGCUUCAUUCAUUAAUACUCGCAGGAGUAGCUAGUUAAUUUGCUAUAAAUGAAUUUAUGUCUUUUUCUUAUUUCUUGAUGGACGUCAACUUAAGAGGCUUGUGAAUGGAUUUCUUUUAAGUUUUGGCCUUCCAAAAAAAAAAAAGAAAAGAAAUAAAAAUAGAAAGAAAAGAGAAAAAAGAAAAAAAAAAGAAAAAAGAAGAUGUUUUUGUGACUCGCAAGUCCGCUAGUCACAAGGCUACUGGGGUCUAAUUUAACUAGUGGGUCCCAAUAGCACUUGUGAUCAGCAAAACAUGACACAAAAGAUCUUUUGUGACUAUUAUUUGUAUGUCACAAAUAAAUCCUAGUUUUUUUGAUUUUUUAUUACAUUCAAAAUACAAGUCAUAAAAGGUAUUCUUACAAGUCACAAUUGAUAAUGUGACUUUCAUAUACAAGUCAUAAAAAAUUUUGUGACUAUUAAAUCCGUGACUUUCAUAUACAUGUCACAAUGUGGUUACAAAAAGAUUUUGUGACUGUUUCGACCCUUUUUUUGACUAUUAUUGACGAGUCACAAUUUCUAGUAGUGAAACAUGUUUUGCAGGAUUAAUAAAGUCUUCAUUGUCUAGGAUGCUAAUGGCUAGAAUGUUGAACUGUUUGGACUUCAGUAAAUUUUGUGAAGUUUUGAUUGUGGGCAUAACAUUGGCUAAGAAAUUAUGAUGAACAAAAUUAAUCAAUUGUGAGCCGCACAAAAUGUUGAUUACAUAAAAAAGAAAUCAAACAUUUACUAUGCAUUGUAUAAUUACAAAAACUCAGAGAUUACAGAAACUCAAAGAUGGAAGGUUACAGAAAUUUUCUAUGAUGUGUCUAGCCAGUGCAUAAAACCAACAAAAAAUAAAUUAACAUUUUGUCUUGUUAUUAGCUAUCUAUGAUCUUUUGUCUAGUCAUUAACUGGUAUUUUCUUCUAAACCAAUAUAUAUGAUAUACGUAGUUAACUUCAGUUAUCAUUAAAUAAAAAAGGGACACCACAAUAAUUGAAGAUAAUUUUAACAUAUAAUGAUUUGAGAUAAGAGCAAGGGUUAGUGAAUAUAUUUUUUAUAUUGGCAGUUUUAAUUCUAAUCACAUUUAUUAUUGAUAUGUAAUCAAUUGGAAUUUUUUUUUCUUGGUUAGUGUCACAACUGAAAUGAGAUGCGUUUAACGCUAAUUAAAAGGCAUGAUGGUAGCUUAGGCAUAACUGGACAUAAUAUGUGUGACGACCCCACCUCCCCCUAAGGCGUACCAAAGGAUUCGGCGGACUGCCUGCCAAACUCUCGCCAGGACUCACUCACAAGCUCACGCGAAUCACGUACAUACGCAUCCAUGAACCAUAAAUAACAUCCACGAUUCAAGCUUAUAAUAUACAUGGAUAGGAAACAUGGUACAAAGUCUCGAUAUACUCAAACUAGUUCAAAGCGUAUACAAUCCAAGUACAAAACAAUCCAUUCGAGGAAUAGCGCGAGUACAAGUCAAAAUUCAAAACAAAAUCAAGAGCAACUAGACUACGCUAGCCUUUAUACGUCUCACGCUUCACUCGUACCCCUGUAAGGAAAACAAACUAACGGGGUGAGCCAAAACUCAGUGAAGUUCCCAAAUAUCAAAUUGGUCAACAAAUCAAGUGAUAACAAAGUAAUAGUGAAAUAGCGAGCAAACAAGUCAAAUCAGGAAAAUAGUACUUCAGCUAGCCAAGUAAUAUCAGGUUCACAUUCACAUGUAAGGAUACAGUAACCCAUAUCACGGCUCCAUUCCAGCUUGGUCAAGUGGUAGUUGACACUCCGCCAACUUUCAAGUCAUAACAAGUCCAAAAUAAAACUCCACUACACGCCAAUCUCCGUCCACCAAUCAACCCCCUUUUCCGGGCCCGCACGCCACACGAAACACGGGUGGUAAUACUCGAGUAUAUCGUUUAGUCGAGGAGAUAACACUCCACUCGACAUUACAAGUGACCCAGGGUUUGUUAUCUAAUCGACUAGGCCCUUGCCGGCUCGACUCGAUUAACUAGCCACAGGGUUUCUGGAAUUCCAGGCAAGACAUAUCUCAAGUACAUGUAGAGCAAGUCAAGUGUAAUCAAUAGCAAGAACAAGUCAUAUUGGGGCAAGUGCAGUAAAGUACACCCUUGCCCUAUCAUUCAUUUUCAUGUAAUCAUAAAAUUCAAGUAAGGAACACAUGCAUCAAGUACAAUCGGAUAUUUGGAAGCACUCACCAAAAUAUAGUGCUUCAAGUAUUCACGUUCACUUAUACUCCAGGCUUGGAGUCCAGAUCUGCGAUAAAAAUCCAAUUUGAGAACUUUGAAACACGAGUAAGAUUCGAAACUUAAACGUUCCGUUCAUUAAGAAUCGUCCAAUUGAAAUUCAUUUGAAAGACAUUCGUGAAACACUUGCUCGCUUUUCAAAUCGUAAGGUUUUUGUAACAUAUAUACUUGGAAACAACACUUGAGUUGAAAGUACAAGGAAAUACAAGUUUAUAUUGGCCAUUAUGUCUUUUCCUCAAGGGUAUAAGUUCGGCUAGGUUUUAACGUAUAACCCUCGAACCAAGAUAGCCAAAAUCCUAGGUGGUUCAAGUACUAUUCAUCUUAACUUGACCCAAGUCACAAGUGUAUUUCUAUAGCCCUCGAGCGUAAAUUUGGGCAGCAUGCCCUUUGUGUUUACCUAAUUUCCAGCCAUUUAUGGCUUCAUUCUUACUCAAUCCAACCUAACAUUGUACACAAAACAAGUCCAGAACACAAAUUCAGUUCAAUAGCCAUUCCAUAGGCUCACAACAACACAAGAGCAAAGAUUAAGCUAAUAUCAGGUGCGGAAAUGAAACUUAUCAAAAGACAGUUUUGACGGGUUUUGCGGAAAUAACACAUCCGAGGCUACGUUUAUCGGAUUGAUACGUAGCUUAUACCAUUUCGAAGCUAAGACGAAAGCCUACAACUUUCAUGAAGAGCACUCAGUCAAAGUUUCAAUGUAACCUGAUCAAAUUCCCAACUCACGUAACCUGGUUUCAACUAUUCGGCUAAUCAACUGCACUGCACUCAAAUGACCAUAACUCAGUCUACCGAGGUCCGUUUAAGACGUUCUUGGCAGCGUUACAAAGAUAAGACAGGGCACUAAAACUUUCAUGUUUUAACAAAUGACUAAAUCCGAACUAAUUACAGUGAAUAAACUCAAUCAAAAGGACUGAACUGUCCACGCGGAACUCUGGAAAGGGACCUAGAUCAACGAGGGUAUUUUCAUCUUUUCACAAGCUACGUUGCUCCGAUUGAACUGAAAUUUUGUAGAUAGCUAUAAAAUACCAUUCCCUACAACUUUCAUGUUUUGAUCUAUGGCCAAUUCAGCCUCUAACAUGGAGCAACAAAAACGGGCAGAAAAGGGGAAAAUUUUCUAGAAAUCUGGAAUUUGUUGAUCUUCAAUGAAACUUUCUCAAAUUUCUUAUUCCAAUCACUACCAAAGCCCCUUAUAUAAUCUUAUAUACAACAUAUAUUAAUCAUACUUCCAAUUUGGCAGCAAUUUCCCAAAUCCUAACUCAUGUGUCCACAAAGAAAACAACCCCCAAAACAUGCUAACAACCGUUAUUCAGCACAAACUUGAGUUGCUAAGCUAAUUUACACAAGAUUUAAAAGAUCAAGGACCAUGAUCAGAUUUAAUACCUCAAAGACAAGCUUGGAUGAGUGAUAAUCCACCUCCUUUAAAAAUUUCUGGUUCCUCUAGCUUCCCCUACUCACAAUUAGCACUUUAAUCGGUUUGGAAUCGAUUUUCUCACUUGGUUUGGCUAAGAUUCAAGAAGAAAGAAGUUGUUUUCUUGCUCUCACUUUCUCUCUCUCUCUUUGGUCGGCUCUUCAGCAGAAAAAUGAAGAGAAAAGGUGCAAUUUAGGGGAUAAGAAGGAAGACUAAUGUCUUGGUCAAGAAACCCUUAGGUAGCGACACUUGGCGCCACCACCUCCUCUCAUUUUUUCUCUUUCUUUUUCUUGCUAUUUUGAGCCCUAAAUUUCGGUCAAGAUAGCUGGCAAAUGGAAGAUAUUUUGCUCAAGUAUUAAUGGGGUUGUAUGGUAAGAAAGUGGUGGUCAAGUGAUACGUUCAAUCGGUAGUGCGCGGGACCCGCCGGUUCGCGCCGUUUUUCUUAAAAACACACAUACUAGGGUUUUUACUUCCUAUUCACCAACCUUAUCUCAUUGCUCCUAAUCACAUAUUAUUUCUCACUUAAAAGUCACUUUUAAUCACCAAAUUUGAUCCUUGCUCCAUACCGAAAAUUCAUCCGGUGGAAAAAAAAUCACGAAAACCCUAAUUUGCCCCAAUUUUGGAAACGAAGAGUGAAACCCUACUUUCUAGGUUCAUCUGCACUUAUUGUUGAACAAUUGGGUAGCAGGGCUUUAAUAAAUAAUAAUUUUCUAAUAAAAGGCAUUUUUUUUUGAGAAAAAUAUAAGAAAUUUGCGGGUACUCACACUCUCUCCCCCUUAAAAGAAUUUCGACCUCGAAAUUCAUAGAUGCACUUCGAAUAAUGUAGGAUAUUUUCCUUAUAUAUUCGUUUCCAGCUCUCAAGUUUCACUAUGGUCAACACUUGGUUAAACAAUAGAAAUCACGAAUCGUACCUUCUACUAUCUCCAAUGGUUCAGGUAAUGCCUGUUGGUCCAAGGCGUACACUCUAACUGGCACUCUCGGAUUAGUCCCUCCUACAUUUGCUUGUUCAGGGUUUGGGCGUGAUCUACGGGGACAGGUUGCAAGCUGGUGUUCGGUGCCACCACACCAUAAACAUUUUCCCGCCUUUCGCCAACAAUCACUCUCCACAUGAUUGGCCUUCCCACAGCACCCGCAAGAUGCUUGAGGGGCUGAGGUCUGACCUCCUUGUGAGGCACCUCUUGCUUGGCCCCAGCCACGCGAAACUCCUCUUGGAGUACUUUCUUUAGAUAUCUCUGAAAUUUUCUCACUACCAUCUCCUCGGCCUAUCUUAGAAGGUGGCAUAUCUAAAUCACCUUGUCCUUGCCUUUGACUCCAACCAGGCGCACCUCUCCUUUUUGCAUGAAAAGCUCUCACUUGUGCCCUAACAGUCUCUAUCCUUAGGGCCUUCUCUAGAACCUCCGUGAAUGUAUUAAUUUGGACUGCCGCUAAGGCUUCUUGUAACUCCACAUUCAGCCCUUGCACAAAUCUCCGUACUUUUCUCUGCUCCGUAGCUAUCAGUUCGGGAGCAAAUUUAGACAACUUUGUAAACUGAGUCUCAUACUCAGUUACACUCAUCAUUCCCUGAUGGAGUUUAAUGAAAUCGUCCUCUCGCUUCUCUUGGACGAUAGGAGGAAGAUAUUUCUCGUUGAAAUCUCGUACAAAGUUUAGCCAAGUCCAUGCAGUUCUCUCUCUCUCCCACUUGGCCCUCACUACAUUCCACCAGGCCCUAGCUGGCCCCUCAAAUUGAAAAACAGCGAAUUGGACUUGUCUCUCCUCUGUAUAGUUCAGGGCAGCAAAAAUAUUUACCAUGGCCUCCAGCCAUUUCUCAGCCUCAUACGGGUCUGGCCCUCCUAAAAACUUGGGUGGGGAGAACUUUUGGAAUCUCUCCAAGACUCUAUCCUGCCCCAUAUCGGGGUCCCUAGGUUGAUUUACAGGGGCUUGACCCUGUUAUUCCACCAACCGAGCUAAAAUGUUAGUCAUCUGUUGGAUGGCAGUUGCCACCUGAUCUCCUCCUGCAGCUUGGGGUUCAGGCUGUGGCUCAACCGUUGCCUCCCUCUCCUCUCUCGGUUUUGGCACCGGUUAUUGUGCUUGCUCACCCUCAUGGCCUCGCCUAGAGCCGCGUUCUCGGUUAGCUUUCUUGGUCCGACUUCUUUUAUCUUCCAUGUUUCGCAGCUAAUAAACUAGAACAAUAUAACCAACUAAUCAAUAAUAGAAUAUAGCCACUAAUUAACUAUAUAAAUAUAAAUAGCAUAAAACAGAGUAAUGCAAAUCAUAAACCACUCUAAAUCAUAGAGCAAGGCAAAAUAACAUAUUCAAUCAAAACGAGUCACAUAACUUAUAGAGCAUUAACCCUACGUAUCGCUCAGGUACUACACUUAAUCAAGACUCGAAACACGUGGAUAAGAAGGAUCCCAAAUCCCAUGAAUAUCUUCAAUAUAUUUCAAGUCCAUAAUAUUCACAUUCCCCGUGCCUUUGCUUUCGCAAUCCAAACUUAUCUCAAUAUUACGCGAGAUCUCAACUUAUCGUAAAGGUAUCACUCUUUGGUAUUCGGGGACAAGAAUCCGAAAAUAUGAUAAUUCACCACUCAAUCUGGCCAGGCUCAAGAGCAAAUCACCCGUAUUAGAGAUUUCUACCCAACAUAUAUGUCUAAGGUCCCCAACAAUAAACAAUUGUUUCACACUUAAUAAGCCAAUCCCCACAGUCCGAGAACCUUCUCCCGGCACGAGCUCAAUAGGAGCUCUGAUACCACCUGUGACGAUCCCACCUACCCCUAAGACGUACCAAAGGGUUCGGCGGACCGUCUGCCCAACUCUUGCCAGGACUCACUCACAAGCUCACGCGAAUCACGUACAUACGCAUCCAUGAACCAUAAAUAACAUCCACGAUUCAAGCUUAUAAUAUACAUGGAUAGGAAACAGGAUACAAAGUCUCGAUAUACUCAAACUAGUUCAAAGCGUAUACAAUCCAAGUACAAAACAAUCCAUUCGAGGAAUGGCGCGAGUACAAGUCAAAAUUCAAAACAAAAUCAAGAGCAACUAGACUACGCUAGCCUUUAUACGUCUCACGCUUCACUCGUACCCCUGUAAGGAAAACAAACUAACGGGGUGAGCCAAAACUCAGUGAAGUUCCCAAAUAUCAAAUUGGUCAACAAAUCAAGUGAUAACAAAGUAAUAGUGAAAUAGCGAGCAAACAAGUCAAAUCAGGAAAAUAGUACUUCAGCUAGCCAAGUAAUAUCAGGUUCACAUUCACAUGUAAGGAUACAGUAACCCAUAUCACGGCUCCAUUCCAGCUUGGUCAAGUGGUAGUUGACACUCCGCCAACUUUCAAGUCAUAACAAGUCCAAAAUAAAACUCCACUACACGUCAAUCUCUGUCCACCAAUCAACCCCCUUUUCCGGGCCCGCACGCCACACGAAACACGGGUGGUAAUACUCGAGUAUACCGUUUAGUCGAGAAGAUAACACUCCACUCGACAUUACAAGUGACCCAGGGUUUGUUAUCUAAUCGACCAGGCCCUUGCCGGCUCGACUCGAUUAACUAGCCACAGGGUUUCUGGAAUUCCAGACAAGACAUAUCUCAAGUACAUGUAGAGCAAGUCAAGUGUAAUCAAUAGCAAGAACAAGUCAUAUUGGGACAAGUGCGGUAAAGUACACCCUUGCCCUAUCAUUCAUUUUCAUGUAAUCAUACAAUUCAAGUAAGGAACACAUGUAUCAAGUACAAUCGGAUAUUUGGAAGCACUCACCAAAAUAUAGUGCUUCAAGUAUUCACGUUCACUUAUACUCCAGACUUGGAGUCCAGAUCUGCGAUAAAAAUCCAAUUUGAGAACUUUGAAACACGAGUAAGAUUCGAAACUUAAACGUUCCGUUCAUUAAGAAUCGUCCAAUUGAAAUUCAUUUGAAAGACAUUCGUGAAACACUUGCUCGCUUUUCAAAUCGUAAGGUUUUUGUAACAUAUAUACUUGGAAACAACACUUGAGUUGAAAGUACAAGGAAAUACAAGUUUAUAUUGACCAUUAUGUCUUUUCCUCAAGGGUAUAAGUUCGGCUAGGUUUUAACGUAUAACCCUCGAACCAAGAUAGCCAAAGUCCUAGGUGGUUCAAGUACUAUUCAUCUUAACUUGACCCAAGUCGCAAGUGUAUUUCUAUAGCCCUCGAGCGUAAAUUUGGGCAGCAUGCCCUUUGUGUUUACCUAAUUUCCAACCAUUUAUGGCUUCAUUCUUACUCAAUCCAACCCAACAUUGUACACAAAACAAGUCCAGAACACAAAUUCAGUUCAAUAGCCAUUCCAUAGGCUCACAACAACACAAGAGCAAAGAUUAAGCUAAUAUCAGGUGCGGAAAUGAAACUUAUCAAAAGACAGUUUUGACGGGUUUUACGGAAAUAACACAUCCGAGGCUACGUUUAUCGGAUUGAUACGUAACUUAUACCAUUUCGAAGCUAAGACGAAAGCCUACAACUUUCAUGAAGAGCACUCAGUCAAAGUUUCAAUGUAACCUGAUCAAAUUCCCAACUCACGUAACCUGGUUUCAACUAUUCGGCUAAUCAACUGCACUGCACUCAAAUGACCAUAACUCAGUCUACCGAGGUCCGUUUAAGACGUUCUUGGCAGCAUUACAAAGAUAAGACAGGGCACUAAAACUUUCAUGUUUUAACAAAUGACUAAAUCCGAACGGAUUAUAGUGAAUAAACUCAAUCAAAAGGACUGAACUGUCCACGCGGAACUCUGGAAAGUGACCUAGAUCAGCGAGGGUAUUUUCAUCUUUUCACAAGCUACGUUGCUCCGAUUGAGCUGAAAUUUUGUAGAUAGCUAUAAAAUACCAUUCCCUACAACUUUCAUGUUUUGAUCUAUGGCCAAUUCAGCCUCUAACAUGGAGCAACAAAAACGGGCAGAAAAGGGGAAAAUUUUCUAGAAAUCUGGAAUUUGUUGAUCUUCAAUGAAACUUUCUCAAAUUUCUUAUUCCAAUCACUACCAAAGCCCCUUAUAUAAUCUUAUAUACAACAUAUAUUAAUCAUACUUCCAAUUUGGCAGCAAUUCCCCAAAUCCUAACUCAUGUGUCCACAAAGAAAACAACCCCCAAAACAUGCUAACAACCGUUAUUCAGCACAAACUUGAGUUGCUAAGCUAAUUUACACAAGAUUUAAAAGAUCAAGGACCAUGAUCAGAUUUAAUACCUCAAAGACAAGUUUGGAUGAGUUAUAAUCCACCUCCUUUGAAAAUUUCUGGUUCCUCUAGCUUCCCCUACUCACAAUUAGCACUUUAAUCGGUUUGGAAUCGAUUUUCUCACUUGGUUUGGCUAAGAUUCAAGAAGAAAGAAGUUGUUUUCUUGCUCUCACUUUCUCUCUCUCUCUUUGGUCGGCUCUUCAGCAGAAAAAUGAAGAGAAAAGGUGCAAUUUAGGGGAUAAGAAGGAAGACUAAUGUCUUGGUCAAGAAACCCUUAGGUAGCGACACUUGGUGCCACCACCUCCUCUCAUUUUUCUCUUUCUUUUUCUUGCUAUUUUGAGCCCUAAAUUUCGGUCAAGAUAGCUGGCAAAUGGAAGAUAUUUUGCUCAAGUAUUAAUGGGGUUGUAUGGUAAGAAAGUGGUGGUCAAGUGAUGCGUUCAAUCGAUAGUGCGCGGGACCCGCCGGUUCGUGCCGUUUUUCUUAAAAACACACAUACAUACUAGGGUUUUUACUUCCUAUUCACCAACCUUAUCUCAUUGCUCCUAAUCACAUAUUAUUUCUCAUUUAAAAGUCACUUUUAAUCACCAAAUUUGAUCCUUGCUCCAUACCGAAAAUUCAUCCGGCGGAAAAAAUAUCACGAAAACCCUAAUUUGCCCCAAUCUUGGAAACGAAGAGUGAAACCCUAUUUUCUAGAUUCAUCUGCACUUAUUGUUGAACAAUUGGGUAGCAGGGCUUUAAUAAAUAAUAAUUUUCUAAUAAAAGGCAUUUUUUUUUGAGAAAAAUAUAAGAAAUUUGCGGGUCCUCACAAUAUGUAACUUCAAUCAUCAAUUAUAAUAGACUAAUUAGAAUACCAGAAAUUAAAACCGCAAAAUGUUUACACUCAGAAGUGCUAAAACUCAUGUUACUUUUAUAAUAGUAAAAUGAUAAAAUUAGAGGGUUGGCUUUAAUAUGAUCAUGUUACUGAUCCUUACGAACUUAUAAUUGAAUCGGAUCUUAUUUUAGAUCCAAACUCUGUGUAAUUCUGUAACACGAGCUCCCCGCCCACGUAAAAAAAUUGCUUUUUAAAAUAGCACUAUUAAAAAGCAUGCGUUAAAUUUAAAAUGAUGAUUCUUAUUUUAAAACAUUAAUAAAGUAAAAACAUGAUAUUAGCAAUGGAAUUAAAUAAACAUAAUUUUCAAUCGAGAACUGAAGAAUAAUAAGAUAUCCAACCCGGCUGAUAAUCGGCUCAUUGGUUUGCUAACUGGUCCGAAUCUGCUCAUUGGUUUACAUCACAAAGAUAGAUGGAGUAGUUACAUAGUACAAUUGCAACGCGAUCAUUGGAAUACUUAAUUUUAAGUGGUAUACUAAAGUUAAUGAAAAAGAAGAAGAGAAAGAUAUAAAACAUUCGUUCAUUCCUCAAUCUUCGAGAUCAAUCUCUUUUUUAUACUGGGAUUUAAAAGUGGAUGUUCAAUGACAAAGGAGCAAAUUACACUUUAUCUCCUGUGGUAUAACUAAUUUUUACAUAACCCCAUAUAGUUUUAAAAAUUAUAUAUAAUCCUCUCAUAAUUUGGAUUAAAGUGUCAAACUGACGGAAACAAUCAUCUGUUAUGGAACCUAUGAGAAUAUCGAAAUUACAUUUAUUUAAAAACUAAAUGACUGAAGUAAUUAAAAUAUAUAAAUAUAAUAUGCAUGACGCUCAAAUCUUAUAUGAUUUUCUAUUUUACCAUAUAACUCUUUUAGAUUUAGUGUUUUACCAUAUAACUUCCUUAUGAUUUAGUGCUAUACUAUAUAUCUCCCUUAUAAUUUUCAAUAAAUAUAUAUAACCCCCCGUGGUUAAUAAAUAAAUUUCAACUUUACAUAAAUGUAUUUUUGACAUUUAGUUAACUCCGUUAUGAAUUGCAAUUUUCAUUACUCUGAUAUCUUAAUCUAAAUGAUGAGAAGAUUAUGUAUAUCUUUUGAAACCAUAGAAGAAUUAUGUAAACAAAUACUAAACUGCAGGGGCAUAAAGUGUAAUUUGCCCAUGACAAAGACACCGAGUUGAAAGAAUUAAAAUUGCAACUUAGUUGUCACCAUUGGGUUCCAUCAGAUAGUCUACUGGACACUAUAGGCAAAAGGGCUUUCUUUUCCCAAGCCUUCAACAUUUUUUUUUUUUAAAUAAAAGUUUGAAUGAGUUCAACUCGGAUCACCACCAUAAAUCAGAGCAUACAUGAUAUUAUAGGCAAAAGGGAUUUCUUUUCCCAAGCCUCCAACAUUUGUCCUUUUUUUUUGCUAAUAAAAGUUAGGGCAAAUUCCACUUUACCCUCCUGUGAUUUAGCAUUUUUUUACAUAACCCCCCUAUAGUUUCAAAAACUAUAUAUAAUCCUCUUAUGGUUUGGAUUAAUGUGUCAAAAUGACGGGAAUGAUCAUUCGUAACGGAAUCACCUAAAAUAUCAAAAAUACCCUUAUGUAAAGUUGAAAAUUAUUUAUUAACCAAGGGAGGUUAUGUGGAUAUUUUGAAAAUCAUAAGGGGGUUAUAUGGUAAAGUAUUAAACCAUAAAGGGGUUAUAUAGUAAAAUAUAAAAAUCAUACGGGGUUAAUAUGUCAUGUAUUUAUAAGGGUAAUUUCGACAUUUUUAGAAAUUCCGUUACGAGUGACUAUUUCUGUUAUUUUGACACUUUAAUCCAAAUCAUGAGGAGGUUAUGUAUAGCUUUUGAAACCAUAGGAGGGUUAUGUAAAAAAAUGCUAAACCACAGAGGGGUAAAAUGUAAUUUGCCCUAAAAGUUAUAAUGGGUUCGACUCUAAUCACCAUCACAAGCCAAAGCAUGUUUUUGGAAUCAUAGAUUAUUGAUAAUCAUUUUUACAUCGAGUACGAAAUUCGAAUAUAUGACCUUUCGUAAAGAAAUGGUUCGUUCUUUUAACUAUUGUUAUUUUUGCAGCAAAUGAUCUAUAGAACUCAAAAAGAUUUCACCCAAAAAUUAUAGGAGAUAAAUUUCACAAAAACUAAUGUAGAUGAGGAGGCAAUUUACACAAUAUAUAUGAGAGAAGAGGAAUAAUGCUAAUGAUAAUAUAUUAACCAGACAUCAUAAUAAUAAUGUUAUUAAAUUUUAAUCUUCUUGACAAAUCACAAUAUCAAUAAUAUCGUAACUGAAUUCAAAUAAAAUUACUAAGACCGUAACUUGACACUGUUAAAUAAUAAUAUAAAAAUUUCUAUGUUUGAGUCUUGAUUUAGUAUGCUAACAUGAUCAUAUACCACAGCUUUUAGUGCGUGGACACAACCUCUGACAGUAAUUUGGUUACCUGAUGAGAUAAAAGUAAACCACCACACUGCAGAGGAUGGAUUAAUUUGAAAAAAAAAGAAGGAAGAAUGGGAUGCUUUGUAGUUCAGAGUAACUAACUAUCAGUUUGAGAAGCCGCGUCAGGCAUAAAUUUUCUCUAUGGAGUUCUAUGAAAACAUUGAAACGUUCAGAUUUUUGGAUUAAAAGUAAAAAAAUAGUAGUCAAAUCUUGUAGAACAUCCGGUAGUUAAUGUAUUUGAUUUGUCUUAGGUUCGAUUCUGUUUAUUCCAAAAAAAAAAAAAGAAAUGAAAAUGCUGAUGCGCGAACUCCUGGGCUUAAUUUCAGCCAGGUUUCAGGUCAAAUAUGCUACUUUGAAACAGUAGAAGAAUGUUUUAUCUUUCCGUAAAGGGAAUUUCGCCAUUUUCAUCCCUAAACUUUUACACUAAAACCAAUUUCAUCCUUUAUGAUUUUUUUUAGCCAAUUUAGCCCUUCGACUAUUUUGAAGUCUCUAAUGUAGGACUUUUGCGGCGGCGACACCACAUUUUACAUAUUCCCUACCACCGGUGAUGGGUGUAUCUGUCUUUUGAAAUUAAAUUCUUCAAUUUAGACGGAUUUUGACCAUAGUUCUUCUUCUCCGAUAGACACCUCAUCCCAUUCACCAGAAAUUCGCGCAAACUCUCUCACACACUCAAAUCAUGAAAUAAAAUUCACAAGAAAAAAAACAAAAAAUCAAGAACCAUAAGAAAAGUGAAGCAAACAUACUCUCAAGCAGAAGACGUCAUUUACGCUGACCUGGACGAGAUGACGAGCAAGGUGGCAUCCGAGAGUGGAGUCAGCAGAGUUGAAAGGAAUGGGAGAUUGGUGGAUGGUAACGGCGCCAUUGGUGGGGAGACAACUGAUGUCGUUGCUGAGUGGCUUACACGUGUCCAAUGCUCCGAUCUUAGUGUCCAUGUUUUCGACCAUGAGACGAGGACGGCGACGUCUAAGAUGUCGGUUGUAGAUGUAAGUAAAGAGUAGCGGUACAAUAAAAUAGAAAGUUCCAUAAAGUUGGGGAGAAAAGAUGGAAUUCCAAUCCGUGGAGCUAUUAUGAUAUUUACCUUUGCUCUUUCUUUUUUUUUUGGUGGGUUCGAUAAGGAAGGGAAAUUUUUUUCUUUUUUUUGCCUUGAGGCAGGUCUUGGCUUUUCUUUUGGAAUGGGUGGUGAUCGGAGCAUGAAUGUGGGAGCGCAAGUGUGUGUGUGUGUAUAUAUAUAUACAUGGUUGGCUGGAUGAUCUCAGUUCUUAGAGCUCAGAGGGGUUACUAAACUUACUAUGGCAGAAGGAAAAACAAACGGAGAAACCGGAAACUAGGGGCGGUCUCAUCUUUUAACAAAGGGUGCCUGAUUAUUUUGGUAUGGCGGUGGGAAUCGGGUUGAGGCACGCCGCAUGUCUUAAAGGAGAAAUGGCUCUCAAACAUACUCUUAGCCUCAGGUCAACUUACAAACUCAUUUUGUUUGGGCAUUUUGUCAAAUAGAUUAAGCUCAUCACAAAAAUUGAAUAUUUCGUAUGAAUUUUGACUAUGGCUAAGCCGAAAAAAUCUUGUCAAGCCUCAUUCAGGCAGAAAAGGUCAAAAGAAACAACAAAAUUGCAGUAAGUAUCAUUGUCCAAUUUCAUUCAUCUACAAAACAAAGCAUACGGGAAGAAGAUGGCAAUUUCAACAGCCAAAAAAAUCAUCUCAACCUAGAGAUUAAAACAAAAAAAGGAUUCUGGAAACCGCACAUGCUUUCUUCAUGAUGAUCUGUAAGUAGUGGUGGUUCUAGCAAGAAGAUAGCAACUCCGGCAAUGGUGAUGGCGGUAGCGAGCUCCCCUUGCUCCUCGGAUUCCCUUAAUGCUUUUGUUGGUUUUCUGUUUUUGGUUCUUUUCUUCUUUUCUUGGAAAGAAAAUUGAGUAUACAACUCUACAACUAAGAUUCCGCAAGGAUUUUGGAGAGAUUCUUUUGAGUUCAUAUGAAACUCAAGGUGAAAAAUGAAUGAUGACUAGUCAUGAGAGAGUUGACAGAUGAAAGCGGGUAGGUAGUGACAAUUGGUGGUGUCUUUGCUAGCAACUAUGAACGAAGGAUUGAAGAAUCAGAACCAAACAAAAUGAGCUUGCCGGUGAGUAGAUUUAAAAUUGUGUAUGAGAAAGAUUUCUCCUUCAAAUUUUGUUUCAAUUUUCCUUUUGGUUCUCAGUUUUCUAAUGUUUUUCUCGUGGAUUUUGUUUCUUUGAUUUGAGUGUGUGAGAGAGAGUUUGUGCAAGUUUCUAAUAAAUCCAGAUAAAAUUUUCAGUGAAAUUCAUCGGAGAAGAAGAACUAUGGUCAAAGUCCGUCUAAAUUGAAGAAUUUAAUUUAAAAAGACAGAUAUACCCAUCACCGGUGGUAGGGAAUAUGUAAAAUGUGGUGUCGCUGCCGCAAAAGUCCUACAUUAGAGACUUCAAAAUAGUCGAAGGACUAAAUUAGCUAAAAAAAAUCAUAAAGGACGAAAUUGAUUUUAAUGUAAAAGUUUAGGGAUGAAAAUGGCGAAAUUCCCUUCCGUAAAAUUAAUUAUACCAACAUUUCUAUCCGCUGUUAUAGUUUCUGAUGCUUUUAUUGGCGAUACUGAUUCAGAUAGUAAAGCUUUACGGAGCCAACUGCAAGCGCCAAAGGUUGGUCUCGGGAGCAAUUUGCUGUGUUAUAGGAUUUUACCUAAAGUUUAGUUUAUUGAGUUGACUUGUCAGCUGCAAUAAUGACGGCGGACAAAUGGUAACUGACUCUCAAGUUUAAGCCGCGUGGUGAGCUUGAUUCAGAGUCAUAGAGCAGUCAACUGGGACAAUAUAUUAAUAUUAAGCUGACUCUACCUCCCUCAAAUACUGAUAAAGCUCUAAAAAAGUUUAGUUUAGGGUAAAUUCUACUUUAUCCCCCAGAAUUUAGUAUUUAUUACAUAACCCCCUAUGAUUUCAAUAGUUAUAUAUAACUCCCUCAUGAUUUGGAUUAAAGUGUCAAAGUGACGGGAAUGAUUAUUCGUAACGGAAUCACCUAAAAUGUCAAAAAUACCCUUAUAUAAAGUUGAAAAUUAUUUAUUAAUUAAGGGAGGUUAUGUGUAUAUUUUUAAAACCAUAAGAGGAUUUUAUGGUAAAAUAUUAAAUCAUAAGGGGGUUAGUGUGUCAUGUAUUUAUAAGGGUAAUUUCGACAUUUUUAGAAGUUCCGUUACAAAUGACUAUUUCCGUCACUUUGACACUUUAAUCCAAACUAUGAGGGGGUUAUGUAUAACUUUUGAAACCAUAGGAGGAUUAUGUAAAAAAUAAAGAGACUAAACCACGGGGAUAAAAUGUAAUUUGCCCUUUAGUUUAUCAUAAUCAAACACAUGGAUUUCAUCAUGCAUGACGGCUUCAUGAAUAUGACAAGAGCCACGUUUGGGUUUAAUUUUCUUAUGGCAUGACUUGGUCUAAAUAUCUAGGAAGAAUGCAAAAAUCUUGUAUUGCCCUAUUAGAUUCCCAGAUAUAAACAAUUUGUGGAGGGAAUGAAAUGGAGUUAGAUUAUUAGAUUGUUCAUCAUCAAUGAUAACUUCUCAAUCACCAAGGAGGGGAUCCCUUUUUCUACUGCUUGCUUGCUUCUGUUUAGAAGCUUGUACAGCGGUGGAUUAUAUAACAAUCACUCAGCCUCUGCAGGACUCCGAAACUGUAGUUUCUUCAGGCCAGACUUUCAAAUUAGGAUUUUUCAGUCCUGCAAAUAGUAGUGAUCGAUAUGUUGGAAUCAUGUUCAAUGUUCCUGCAGUUGCAGUAGUAUGGGUGGCUAAUAGAGACAGACCAUUAAAUGAUUCAUCAGGAACUCUGACAAUCUCAGGAGACGGCAAUCUUGUGGUCUUGAAUGGGCAGAAGGAGAUACUAUGGUCAUCUAACGUUUCAAAUUCUGUGGCAAAUUCUACUGCACAACUCUUGGAUACUGGAAACUUCGUUUUGACAGACAAUCCCAGUGGAAGAACUCUGUGGGAAAGUUUUCAGAUUCCGACAGACUCAUAUCUCCGGCGGAUGAGAUUAAGUUCAAGUACGAAAGGCCAGAAAAUACGAUUGACCUCUUGGAGAAGUCCUUCUGAUCCAUCUAUCGGAAGUUUCUCCCUAGGUAUUGAAGCCAAGCAAAUUCCACAACUCUUCAUUUGGAACGACAAUAAACCUUAUUGGCGCAGUGGUCCAUGGAACAACAAUGUCUUUAUUGGAGUUCCUGCCAUGGAUCCAGUUUAUCUAAAUGGUUUUAACCUGGUAACGGAUGAUGCAGGAUUGGUGUCUGCUACCUUCACGUAUUCAAAUGAUAGUGGUUUGUUGUACCUUGAAUUGAGUUCCUCAGGGUCUGUACUGCAGAAAGUUUUAUCAGAUAGAAAAGGGGAUUGGGAGGUUACAUGGUCAAGCCAAGGAAGUCAAUGUGAUGUCUAUGGCAUAUGUGGACCUUUUGGAAGCUGCAAACCCCAUGGUUCACCUAUUUGUACAUGUUUGCAAGGUUUUGAGCCUAGAGAUAAGGUGGAAUGGGAAGGAGGAAACUGGACUAGUGGUUGCACAAGAAGGGCAAUGCUACAAUGUGAGAGAAAUAAUUCUGUUCGUUCUGAGGGCAAACAAGAUGGAUUCUUGAAGCUCCCAAACACUAAAGUUCCAGAUUUGGCUGAAUGGGUCGCAACUUCAGAAGACGAAUGUGGUACUCAGUGCUCAAAUAAUUGCUCCUGUUUAGCUUAUGCCUCUUAUCCAGGCAUUGGCUGUAUGCACUGGACGGGAAGCUUAAUUGAUAUACAGCAGUUUCCCUCUUCUGAUGGGGCAGAUUUAUACAUACGUGUGCCUUAUUCUGAACUUGGUAAGACACUUCUUAUUACAAUGUUUUAGUAACUCUGUACUCUUAAUGUAGCAUUUUACUUUCUGCUUCUGCAUUCAAAUAGGAUUUGAAUUCGAUCAAGGCUAUAUUUUGGAAUGUAACUAAGUUAUCAAAUCCCCUUCACUUCUUUUUACAUUUUUUCUAUAGAUUCUACAAGAAAGUCAAAAUGACAUAGAAUUGCAUUUGGCUAGUUCUUUCUCGAUAGUAGCUUUCUGAAGAUGCUUUGAAACUUUGACAUUUAUAGGCAAGAAAAGGGACAUGAAAGCAGUCAUUGCAACCUCAGUAAUUGCAGCAUCUUUAUCCUUUGCAUUGUCUGCAUACUUUUGUUGGAAGUGGCUGGCUAAGCGGAAGGGUAUUACUCUGAUUUUAGCUUCAUUUUUCAGACAUUGUUUUUCCUCAUCAUAAAUUUACCAAGCACUAUUUCAUGAUAAGCACAGGGAAACAAGAUCAGAUUUCAUUAAUUGAAGCAGGGGAAGUAUAUAAUGUCGAAAGCUUGUUUAGCGACAACUUGGAGCAACCCAAGCUUGAAGAGCUACCACUUUAUAGUUACGAAACUUUAGCUAAUGCAACAGAUGAUUUUGAACCAAAAAGUGAGCUUGGAAAAGGUGGCUUUGGCCCUGUCUACAAGGUACACAUCCUCAGCUGCAUGUGGUGUUUUCUAUGGUUGAAUACAGCAAAUGUAACGGUUAUGUAACUGCAGGGAAAGCUAUCAGAUGGACAGGGGAUAGCUGUGAAAAAGCUUUCAAAAUCUUCUGGUCAAGGAACUGAGGAGUUUAUGAAUGAGGUUAUGGUGAUUUCUAAACUUCAACAUCGAAAUCUUGUUAGACUUCUUGGCUGCUGUGUUGGAAGAGAAGAAAAAAUGCUUGUGUAUGAAUACAUGCCAAAUAAGAGCUUGGAUACCUAUCUCUUUGGUUAGUCAAUCUGGUGUUUCUUUUUCCAAUGUGGUUACUAAAGUUCCAUAGAACCGUCUUUCUUUAUGGAACCCAACACAGUUUCAUAAACCUAUGAUGAUUUUAGUCCUCCUGAUCUUUUCAGAGCCAUCGAAACGUGGUUUACUUGAUUGGAACACCCGCAUUAGCAUCAUUGAGGGGAUUGCAAGAGGCCUCCUUUACCUUCACAGGGAUUCAAGAUUGAAAAUUAUUCACAGGGAUCUAAAAGCAAGCAACAUCCUCUUAGAUGACCAGCUUAAGCCAAAAAUAUCAGAUUUCGGCUUAGCAAGAAUUUUCGGCGGCAACCAAGAUCAAGCAAAUACCAACAGGGUUGUAGGAACCUAGUAAGCACAUACUGCUAAAAUUAUAUCCUAUAAUGCAACUUCCGUAGAUUAACUUUGUUCUUACGUCCCCAAAUUAUGUGAUAACAGUGGCUACAUGGCCCCUGAAUAUGCAAUGGAGGGAAGAUUUUCAGAAAAGUCAGAUGUUUACAGUUUCGGAGUGCUAUUAUUGGAGAUUGUAAGUGGAAGGAGAAACACAGGCUUUUACCAUGAUGAGUACGAGCUCAGCCUUUUAGGAUAUGUAAGCUUGUUUCUUUAUUAGGACUGCAAUUCUAAAGAUUCAUUUCCAUUUCUAACAUUUCAAUCUCUGAACUCCAAAAUUCAUCAACUUGCCAAAAUUUUCAGGCCUGGAAAUUGUGGAAUGGAAAUGAUAUAACAAAUUUGAUAGACCCGUUGAUCUUUGAUCCAUGCAUCGAAGUGGAGGUCAUGAGAUACGUACAUGUAGGACUACUAUGCGUGCAAGAAUAUACAAAGGAUCGGCCAAAUGUCUCAACUGUUCUGUCAAUGCUGAAUAGUGAAAUUGCAGACCUUCCUCGUCCUAAUUUACCAGCUUAUAUAGGAAGAUUGGGUGCUUCAGCCGGAUGUCCUCAAAAAAGCACAGAUUCUGUGAAUGGUGCAACUCUAACAGGUGUUCAAGGCAGAUAGCACAUCCCAAUACAUGUUUUUUUUUCCUUUUGGGGGUAAGUGUUUUUCAUCUUUCGAGUGCACAGAAGAUGUGAAGCACAUUGAUGUUGUUUUAGAGGGUAAUGGAAAAAAAAAUUCGGUUAUGCUGCCAUUCCUUGUCGAACAAUGAAUUUUUUGGUUCAAAUUGCCUUUUGUACCUUAAAUCAAAGAAUGGCUAAUUGUCUGGAUGCUAUUGAGAAUAACAACUUAUAAAUUAAUGAGUGGUGUGUGUUUCUCAACAAACUUGGAAUGCUAAAAGAACAAAAACCAAAAUGUUCUUUGAUCUCAUUAUCUUCCUGUCGUUGUCCUGUAUGUCCUGAGGUUAAGGGCACAACUUCUAAAAGGACCCACAAAGACGAAUAUAAGUGUAGAUUUUUUCCUUGAACCAAUUUCCGCGAUUAUUAUCUCCAAUUUUGCUUUAUAGAAGUUGAAUCCCGUCUCGUGAGAUUGUCACUUUAUAAAAUUUUUUUGUCGCAUAAAUACAGUGCCAUCAUGGGGUCUAAAUGUUGACUUUGAAACAUGAAUGCAUAUGUCCAGCUAUCUGAAUUGUUGCGGGUGAAUGAAGGAAAACUUGCCAUCAAGAAAUAUCCAGCAGCAACGCGGUUUGAAUAGAAAGAGAAAGGAGUCAAAUGUGAAGUGUCGAAACUCAGAAGUUAUUUGCAAAAAAAUGAUAGACCAUUUUCUCUGCAGCAGGAGAAUGAAGGAACUUACAAACUUAGUACCUCUACUACUCCUGUUUGCUUGCUUCUGCACAGAAGAUUGCAGAGCUAAUGAUACCAUUACAAUCACUAAGCCGAUUCGUGACCCCGAAUCUGUAGUCUCCGCAGGACAAACCUACAAAUUGGGAUUUUUUAGCCCUGCAAAUACUAGUAAUCGAUAUGUUGGAAUCAUUUUCAAUAAUUUUCCUCAACAGACUGUUCUUUGGGUAGCUAACAGAAACCAACCCUUGAAUGAUUCUGGAGGAAUAUUUUCCAUUUCAGAAGAUGGAAACCUUACGGUCCUGAACGGGCAGAAAAAGGUUUUAUGGUCUUCUAAUGCUUCAAAUUCGGUGGCAAAUUGCAGUGCACAACUCUUGGAUACUGGGAACUUAGUCCUGAGAGACAACUCAAAUGGAAUGAUUCUAUGGGAAAGUUUUCGGCAUCCUACAGACACCAUUGUCUGCAAAAUGAGACUAGGGGCAAGCACCAAGAACAAGAACCGGCUUACCUCAUGGAAAAGUCCUUCCGACCCAUCUAUUGGAAGUUUCUCUCUAGGUUUUGAUCAUCCAGGAAUUCCAGAAGUCUUCAUUUGGGAUCAGAGUAAGCCUCUUUGGCGCAGUGGUCCAUGGGAUGGCAACGUCUUCAUUGGAGUUCCUGGCAUGUAUUCAGGUCGACACGUGUUACAUAUGGUGAAUGAAAAUACAGAUUCUGCAUCCCUUACCUACGAUUGCUUCAAUGAUUCUGUUUUGACAUACUACCAUGUAUUGACUUCCUCUGGGAUUUACCUGGAGAACGUUUGGAACAAUGACCUAGGAGAUUCCACGGUAACAUGGUCAAGUCGAAAGAGUGAAUGUGAUGUCUAUAGCAAAUGCGGCCCUUUUGGAAUAUGUAAUCCUCAGGGUUCGCCAAUUUGUACAUGCUUGAAAGGUUUUGAGCCAAGAGACAAGGAGGAAUGGAACAGAGGAAACUGGACUGGUGGCUGCUUAAGAAAGGCAUUGCUGCAAUGCCAGGGGAACAUAUCUGGUGGUCAGGAGGCCAAACCAGAUGGGUAUUUAAAGCUCAAUAACGUAAAAGUUCCAGAUUCCUCUUACUUAGUUGGCGUCCUCAACCUCAUAAGGGAGGAAGAAUGUGGUGAUGAGUGCUCAAACAAUUGCUCUUGCAUAGCUUAUGCAUAUCCCAAGGGCGUUGGAUGUAUGCACUGGAGUGGCCAUUUGAUAGAUGUACAACAAUUCCCUUUUGAUGGGACAGAUCUAUAUGUGCGUGUGGCUUAUUCUGAACUUGGUAAUUAUUUUUCCAGCCCCUUAUUCAUUACUUGCAUCUUGUAUAUAUGGAUGUGAUCCAGUCUCUGAGUAGUGAAAUCUUCUUAAGCUGUGUUGAUAAUUUAUUGCACAAAUCUACCUCAAAAUGAUGCUAAAAUUUGAUAUGAUGGCACAUGUCUAGUUCCUUGUAAAUUCUCAUAAUCUGCUUUGAACCACCUGAAAUGCAGAUCACACCAAAAGCAAAAGUCACAAGAAAGCAGUCAUUGCUAGCAUAGUUGUUGUGAUAUCUUUGUUCGUUGCUGGUUUUGCAUAUUUCUUAUGGAAGUGGUUGCCUUAUCAUAGAGGUAAAGCGCUAGAUUAGCAAAGAUAAAGUCACGACAUAUUCCCUACAUGCAUUGGCAAUAUGGAGAAGGUGCACAAACCUAACUUUCACUAUUUGAAGCAGGUGAAACAAUCAUCAGAAUGAAAGACAUGCUCAGCGACAGUGAAGAUCAGCUUCAUCUGUACGGUAAUGAGACACUGGCUAACGCAACAAAUACUUUUCAUGUGGAAAUCAAGCUUGGGAAAGGUGGUUUUGGUUCAGUCUACAAGGUAUAUCAAGUGUUCGUUCGUUCGUUUUUUUGCAGAACCUUAUGCAGUUUGGACUGUAAAGAACUCAAUAAUAGUGUAGCACACAUAUGCAGGGGAAACUGAUAGACGGCCAGGAAAUUGCAGUGAAAAGGCUUUCAAACUCUUCGACUCAAGGGAUCGAGGAGUUUAAGAAUGAAGUUCUGGUCAUUUCAAAACUCCAACACCGAAAUCUUGUCAGACUUCUUGGGUGCUGUGUUGAAAGAGAGGAGAAAAUGCUGGUCUAUGAAUUCAUGCCAAACAAAAGCCUGGAUGCCUAUCUAUUUGGUUAGCUGGUUAUAAUUUCCUGUACCGAAAUGUUGAUUACUAGGAUGUCUUCUACCAUAUUUACAGAAUUGUUGAUGGAUGAUCGUCUGACUAAACAAUAAAACUGUACUCACAUUCUGCCUGAUUUCAGAUAUAUGCAAGCAUGAUUUACUUGCUUGGAAUAGACGCACCAUCAUCAUUGAAGGGAUCUGCAGAGGCCUUUUGUACCUUCAUAGGGACUCGAGAUUGAAAAUUAUCCACAGAGAUCUUAAAGCCAGUAAUAUUCUCUUGGACGGGGAGCUGAUUCCAAAAAUAUCAGAUUUCGGCUUAGCAAGAAUUUUCAGAGGCAACCAAGAUCAAGACAAUACGAACAGGGUUGCGGGGACAUAGUAAGCACGUACCAGUUAUCUCAGUUCAAUCAUGGAAACUCCAAAACCCCCCCCCCCUCUCUUUCCCCCUCCCAUUUCUGUUGAGUUUAAGCAUAAAUCAAUUUCACCCCUUGUUGAUAACGGGAUGCAGUGGCUAUAUGGCCCCAGAAUAUGCAAUGAGAGGAAAGUUUUCUGAAAAGUCAGAUGUCUACAGCUUUGGAGUGCUGCUGUUGGAGAUUGUGAGUGGAAAGCGAAACACUAGCUUUGGUAACGAGGCGAAUGAUCACAGCCUGGUAGAAUAUGUAAGUUUCUAUACAUGGCGAUUCCCAUAUGCGAAAUUCAUUCCACUUUUAUACAACUCAUGAUUAAUUUCAGUUGCAUUUUGUUCUCAUAAUUUUCAGGCCUGGAAACUGUGGAAUGCAGGUGAAACAGUGAAAUUAAUCGAUCCAAGAAUUUUUGAUCCGUGCAUUGAAAUGGAGGUCUUGAGAUACAUCCAUGUUGGACUAUUAUGUGUGCAGAAGCAUGCCAAGGAUAGACCAAACGUGUCCAAUGUUCUGUCAAUGCUUAACAGUGAAAUAGUUGAGAUCCCUUGUCCUAACUUACCAGCUUAUAAUGCCAUAUUUUGUCCUUCAAAAACUGUACAUCCUGAACAAGGUAUACAUUCCCCCAAUGAUGUCAGUAUAACAGCUGUCGUAGGCCGAUAGCACAUUUUACAGCAAUAUGGGCAAAGAUUAGUAGAAUACUGAGGUAUCCAAACAAACAAAUUAGGGUUUUCCAAAUCAUUUGUUCACUAGUGUUUCUUUAGAUUGUUCUAGUAAAAACCAAUUGCCAUUCUGAAGGUAUCAAUUUUAUUUUUUUUUCUUUAAUUUUUUUGAUCAAAUUUUAUAAUGACAUGUUUAACUAGGUUCUGAUUAGCAUUAACACUUUGUCUAACGCAUACAGUUUUAUUCCUGGUUGCAUUUAUAAACUCUCCCAUAUAAGUACACCUCCACAAAAUACUAAAAUAGGGAGAAUUAAUUGCAAUUUCAAUUCCUAGUAGUUGGCCUCUAUGUCAAACUCGUCCCUAAUGCAAAGACAAUACAACUCACUAUCAGUUAAUAAUCAAUAGCGCAAAAAAAAUAAUUAUGUAUAUUAUACCAGUUGAGACUGAUUAUGCAAACCAAAAAAUUUUGGCAGAGGAGCAAUUAAGGUCGGCCACAAUUUUGGACUCCCUAUUUCUCCUACUUUGUUACUCCUUUCAGGGAGUGAAUGAAUUUGACAUAUCCAACAUUAAGACAAUUCCUCCAGGACUGCACCUUCCUCUGGCCUAACUCUGAUGGCAGCACUGACAAGAAAAAGAAACAAUGAAUCUCCAGUCUCAAUGAGGGAAUCUUUUGUUCUUGUACUUGCUUGCUGUUUAACAGUUUGUACCGCCAUAGACACUAUUACUAUUGCUAGGCCUGUCCAAGACCAUGAAACUUUAGUAUCCUCCGGGCAAACCUUCAAGUUGGGUUUUUUUAGUCCUGCAAACGCCAGUAAUCGCUAUGUUGGAAUCAUGUACGAUAAUAUUCCUGGAACAACUGUUAUAUGGGUGGCUAACAGGGACAAACCUGUUAAGGAUUCUACCGGAAUUUUGACAAUUGCAGGAGACGGUAACCUUGUAAUCUUGAAUGGGGAGAGGGAGAUCAUAUGGUCUUCUAAUGCUUCAAAGUCUGUGGCAAGCUCAAGUGCCAAACUUUUGGAUACUGGGAACUUAGUCUUGACAGACAACUCAGAUGGAAGUACGAUGUGGGAGAGUUUCCAAAUUCCUACUGAUUCUUUGGUGCCAAAGAUGAGAUUAAGUGCGGGUGCAAAAGAGAAGCUCCAACUAACUUCCUGGAGAAGCCCUUCUGAUCCUUCCAUUGGAGAUUUCUCUGCAGGCCUUAACCUUUUCCGGCCGCAACAGUUCUUUGUUUGGGAGAUUAAUGUACCUCACUGGCGCAGUGGUCCACGGAGUGGUAAUACGUUCAUCGGAAUAGCUGGCAUGAGUUCUGCUUAUCAGAGUCGAUUUGAUCUGGUGGAGGACAAUUCAGGAUCUACUUAGUUUACCUACAACUCUGUAAAUAAUCCGGAUCUGUUCUACUACGCAUUGAAUUCCUCAGGGUGUUUACAGGCAAAGGUCUUAAUUGGUAAAGGAGAUUGGAGUGUAACGUGGUCAAGUCUAGAAAGCCAAUGUGAUAUUUAUGGCAAAUAUGGACCUUUUGGAAGCUGCAAUCGUCUACAGUCACCAAUUUGUACGUGUUUGCGAGGGUUUAAGCCAAGAGAUGAAGAGGAAUGGAACAGAGAAAAUUGGAGUG
rnacentral:lncRNA from 1 species